AUCGACUCAAAAUGCUACAUAUGCCCUUUUUGCACGAAAGCCUUCAAUUGUACAAGAAAAUAGCUCUUAUAAAUAUUUCUCACAUUUUGCUUAAAUGUUUGGGAUUUAUUCCUAUAUUGACAGGCUUGUGAACAUAAUACAGAAGCUGCAAGAUGUGACAAGUUUACAAGAAAAUACUGAGCAGUCAAGUAUAUUGGCAAAGGAAUCUAUACCACUGCAAACAAUAAAGACAGAACCUGUUAAAAUUAGGGAGAGAAAAGAGAGACGAAGGAGCCCUCAUAGAACAGAAGCAAGAGAAGAGCAAAUAAGCCAAGGUUACAAGUCUUCUGAGAAGACAGAGA